GUUCUGGUGAUUUAAGGCGGUGGUCCCACCCGUUCCCAUUCCGAACACGGUCGUGAAACGCCGUACUGCCGAUGAUACUCAAAAGGGAAAGUAGGUAGUCGCCAGAACU
rnacentral:rRNA from 1 species